AUACCAUAUGUAAAAAUAACAUCAUGCAUAACAAAAAUACAUGCUUUUGCUAAACUAAAAUGAUAUUAACUACAUUGUGACGGGCGUGUCCGAAUUAAGACUCCUGCUGCAAUCUUGGCGGGAGUACCUACAUAGUUUUUUCUUGCUAAUAAUGUAUAACAUACGAAUUUUGUUGAUAACUACCUAUUCUCUACCUAACUGACUGGCAAAGGCCCUAGAGGAGCCAUUUCUAUAUUAUAAUAGUAUUCCAAGGACCCAAAAUGGACCAACAGUCGAUCCUCAGUAAGGACAGCUAUACACAACGCAGGAAGUUGUUUAAGAACAUUUGGGAUACAGCCGUAACGUUGGAUCAGAAGGAUAAGGAACCUGAACAGCCUAAUGUGGCCAAACCUAAGGUCAUUAAAACAUUAAGACUGGGUGAAGCGGACGGCAUAAACAUAGGCAAGAAUAAAAAGCAGCGUAUCAAGAACCUGAGGAUCGUCUGCAAUCGACUGCUCGACAUCUGCAACAGACAGGAGUCAGAGGACCAUGUGUAUGAUCAGAUCUCCGCUGCCCGCCGCGACUCCAGCAUAACAUCCACAAUGUUCGUCCAUCAACGAAAGCGUAAGAAAACCCCAAAGAAGAAAAAAAAAGUCAAAAAGGCUUAUGAACAACCACCACAAGAACUACCACAAGAACUACCACAAGUCGAUGUUCAAGAAGAAGUAACUUCAUUUAACGACGACGAAGAAGGCCCUUUUACGCACCGUGGGACGAAACCUCUUAGAGAUUUGAAUUCCCUGAGGAUAGAGCGAGCACUGCUCAUCCAGCGGUUUCUAAACGAACGGUUAAAUUUAGAAAAGGCCCCUACACCCGAGCCUGUUGAAUCCGAGGAGAAACUCGGAGACACCCAUUGCAAAGUAGUUAAGAAAAAACAAAAUAGAACAAAAACGUCACCGACGCCGUCGCCGCCGCCGCGCGUAACUUGCAACUCGAAAAGGGUAUCUAGUGCUAAACAUAAAAAAAGAAAACAAAAAUGUCACGAUGUUCAUUGAUUGCCUGUGAACUCUCAGGAGGCUCUUAAAUGUAACUAAUCCAUUAACUAACUACUCGUGUGCGCAUUAUUACUAGUGUUGAUUAAGACUCGAGUCUCAAAGGAUUCAAAAUUAAGCCGGAACUAGAGUUCUUUUCAACUUGCUAGAGACCAGAGUCUUGUAGAGAAUAGUCCGUUUCAGAGGACUCAUAUUUUUACAAAUAAAGUCAUAUUCAUUAAUACCUUCAUCGAAAUUCAUGGGUUGGGUUGAGUUGCGUUACUGGACUUGGGACUUAAGAGAGUCAGAAGCUUUUAGUGCAGAGACUCGUAAAACCGAGUUCAGUUCAUCAAAUAUAGACUCAAAAGACUGGAGUUCCUACCAAGACUAGUUAAAGUAAAAUAUCAAGUCAUCGUGUCCCCGUGAGUGUUGCCCCAUUCCGAUAAUUAACUUGGUACUUCCGAUAGAAUAGCAAAGUGAAGCAAAGUGGCCAAAAAGUGUUUCGUAAUUAAGUUACAAUUUACAGUGAGAAAUAAAUACAAUUUUCUUCCUUGGA